UGGAAAGUGGGCAGUGGUACCCAUGUGAGGUUCUGGUUAGAUGUAUGGUCAGGUCCAUGCCCUUUGAGUGUAACUUUUGCUGAGCUUUUUACAAUCUGCAAUCAACAGGAGAUCCUUAUUGCUGAGUUAGAGCAAAUUGGUAUGGGUGGUUUAACUUUUAGGAGGUCUUUUGGUCCUAUUGAGUUGGAGCAAUGGAGGCAGAUUAACCAGAUAAUGGAGUCCUUGGAUCUGAAUGAGGACCCUGACAUUCUGAACUGGAGUCUGAACUCCAACAAGAGAGCUAUGACUGCCCUUCUUGCUGCUAUCUGCUGGGUCUUGUGGACCACUAGAAAUAAUAUGAUUUUCAGAUCCCAAUUGGUUUACUCCCCCCUGACACUUCCUUAUCAAACUAUAUCUCACAUUUCACAGUGGAAGGCUUUGGGUCGUGCGGGGGUCCCUGAUCUUCUGGAGUCGAUCGCGGGGAAACUGAAGGUGGUGAUCGCGGGAAUUGGAGGACAAAGAACAGGGAUAGGCUUAUCUCCCUUCUGCUUUGGCGUGCUGCUUAGAGUUACACUUUUUCUUUUGAUUAGAGCUGUUUCUUCGCUAGCUGUGUCUGGUGUUGCUAAAUACUAUCUGUCCUAG
rnacentral:lncRNA from 1 species